rnacentral:rRNA from 1 species
UGUAUGUGGGUAGUCCGCACGAGCGCACCUUAUCCUUAGUUGCCAGCACGUAAUGGUGGGAACUCUAAGGAGACUGCCGGUGACAAACCGGAGGAAGGUGGGGACGACGUCAAGUCAUCAUGGCCCUUACGAGAUGGGCUACACACGUGCUACAAUGGCAAGUACAAAGGGUUGCAAACUCGCGAGAGUAAGCGGAUCCCAUAAAGCUUGUCGUAGUCCGGAUUGGAGUCUGCAACUCGACUCCAUGAAGUCGGAAUCGCUAGUAAUCGUGGAUCAGAAUGCCACGGUGAAUACGUUCCCGGGCCUUGUACACACCGCCCGUCACACCAUGGGAGUGGGCUGCAAAAGAAGUGGAUAGCUUAACCUUCGGGAGGGCGUUCACCACUUUGUGGUUCAUGACUGGGGUGAAGUCGUAACAAGGUAGCCGUAGGGGAACCUGCGGCUGGAUCACCUCCUU